GAUGAAGAACGUAGCGAAAUGCGAUAAGUAGUGUGAAUUGCAGAAUUCAGUGAAUCAUCGAAUCUUUGAACGCACAUUGCGCCCGCCAGUAUUCUGGCGGGCAUGCCUGUUCGAGCGUCAUUUCAACCAUCAAGCCCCCGGCUUGUGUUGGGGACCUGCGGCUGCCGCAGGCCCUGAAAACCAGUGGCGGGCUCGCUAGUCACUCCGAGCGUAGUAAUACAUCUCGCUCAGGGCGUGCUGCGGGUUCCGGCCGUUAAAAAAGCCUUAUUUACCCAAGGUUGACCUCGGAUCAGGUAGGAAGACCCGCUGAACUUAAGCAUAUCAAUAAGCGGAGGA
rnacentral:misc_RNA from 1 species